rnacentral:lncRNA from 1 species
CCAUGCUUCUCAAAGUGGUCAUUAAUCUCACCCUGUUAAUAUUUUCCAUUGGGUCUCGCGGUCUGAUUUUCCCUACAACAGCAUCUGGCUGAUUUUUGGUGGGUCUUCGUCAAGUUUUGCGCGGCGGCGACAUCAAGUUUUUGGUGGGCCUUCGCCCAAGUUUUGAGCUUGAAGAAUAAUGAAAGAAAAAAGCUUAAAGCUUAAUUGGGAGAUGGGGCUGUUGGUUGGAGAAGAUGAAGAGGAUGGCGGAGCAGAGGUGGUGGUGGUAGUGGUGUUUGAGAGAUUGGGUUGUAGGUUUUCCUUUUUCUUUUUUCAUUUUCUUUUUUCUUUUCUUUUUUUCCAAAAUCAUGUGAGGUGGCGAAUUUGCCCCUCCAUUUACACGUGGGAGUUGUACGUGUGUACUUCCGGGAACAAUUAGGCUAAAAAUGGACAAUUUUGGUUUCGGUGCUACAAUUUAGUAAGUUGAGGUAUGCCCGUGCAACUUUUUUCCGUUCAGGGGAUAAAGUGCAAAAACGUCCAAAGUUUAGGGGAUUUUUUGCAGUUAACUCUAAGUUGUUUAUAAGUUGUCCCUUACAAAUCAUAUUUUGUUCCUUUUGUAUAAUGCAAAUCGAAUUUCCAAAAACAAAAGUAAAACCUUCAUUAUCCAAAACAGGAAUAGAAAUAAGGUUUCGAAUAAGUGACGGAACAAAUAAACAAUUGUUCAAAACAAUGGAAAAACUAGAAUCCAAAACAGAAAGAUAAAUUGUCCCAAUGGCUUCAGCAGCAACCCUUGCUCCGUUGCCCAUUCUUAGGUAGGUCUCACCCACAUUAAGCCUCCUACUUCUUGUCAUGAGCUGCAAAUCAUUACAAAGAUGUGAGCCACAACCGGUAUCCAAUACCCAAGAAGGAGAUUUAACGGACAAAUUAACUUCAACUAAAUACGUACCCUUUUCAGAAAUUUUCUGAUCGAGGUAAGCCUUGCAGUUGCGUAUCCUCUACUUGGAGCACAAGUUUCAGAUUGCGAAGCCAAUCCAAAUAGUUUGGACCGGUGAGUUUGUUUUGGUCGAGGAUUGAGGAAAGGGGAUGUUUGGACAUUGUUGCUGAGAAAAUUUUUUAGAAGACAAUAAUUAGAGUUUAGUUCGUAAUAAUCGUUACAAUUAAAAUUUUGGACUUUUAUGUUUUAAUUGUUCUCCCACUAAUUUUAUCGAAUUCCACCACCCUCUAGCAGACAAUUGAGAAAACUUGUUUUUCUUUAAUGGGCUUUAGGUCCAAUAGCGCUAAUGUAACCCGUAGUUAAUCUAUCCCGAUUACAUAAGCCUAAAGGUAGAGUACUAUCAAUCACAUCACUAUGUGACCCUAAAGAUCGAUUUACCUCACACUUGAUAAUGACCUAAGUUAAUCUAGCGAAUAUCAAAAUCUUCGUGUGUCAAGUCUAGCCUACCAAUAUGAGAUGUCAUAGAUCCAACUAUAUCAAACUAAUGCAAUCCCUAGUUAAUCUAGCCGACCACAUUAAUCCAACAUAAUUUUAUCUAUGACCGUAUCUCCAUCUAAUGUCAAUUAAAUUACAGCUUAUCCCACAAUAGCACUCCCCGCUAACACGGCUUACUGCACUAUUAUGAGAGGCUACACAUAAUUUAAUUGUUGGUAGAAGGAAAGAAAAAUUCAACAAUUUGGUUUUUCUUUAUAGCUUGAUAAUUAUUCUUGAUUAAGAAUGAUGGAUUUUAUUUAUUAAAUCUUAUUAGCUCAUCGGAAGUUUUAGGUUAUGAUCGUUUGUGAUUCCUACAACUAUGUUCUCUAGGUAUGUGGAAACGCAUAUUGAUCCUAAGAGAGACAUACGAUCAUCAUCGUACUUAAUCACAAUUAUUCAUCUCAUGAAUUAAUUAAUUAAUACGAUUAAUUGCAAAUAUAAUUAACGGACUCCCUUCAUUCAUAAAUCAUUCAAAUAAGAAUGAAGUCCAUUAAUUAUUUGCCAUCUAAUUUGUGUUCCAUUAAUUAAACUAAUUUAACGAUUAAAUUAAAUAAUUAAUCCAACACUAUUCUUUGAAUUCAAAUUAAAUUUAUGGAUCAAUUAUCUAAUUGGGUUUAAUUGAUAAAUAAUUUCAAAAAUUAAAAAUCAAUUAAUUUUAAUAUUAAUCUCAGAAAAUCAAAUAUUUUUUUUUUUUUUUGUUUGUGCUGACCGGACCGGUCGGACCGGACCGGUUCGGUCAGCUGGGGAAAAACAGCAGCAAAAAUCGAAAUUUUUCAAAAUUAAAAUUUUUUUAUAUUUUCUGAAAUAUUCAAAAUAUUUAAUUAAUAUUAAACCACCCAAUUUGAUAACACCAAAAAUUCAACAAUUCAACAAAUCGAAGCAUGCCUUCGAAAGCGAUAAACACAUUGACAAAUAAACGAUUAACCCGUGGCUCUGAUACCACUGUUGGGGAUCGUGCAUGUAUACGCAGCGGAAUUUAAAAUUUUUUAGAUCGAACUAAUUUCGAUUACAUGCAUAAACUAAUCACAUAGUCAACGUACCUUAACGCUUCCGCCAUACAUAUGGUAAUUAUCGAUUUAAUUGAAAAAUACAUAAAACCGAAAAUCACGAAACAUGCUUAUUCAUCAUUCAAUGAAAUCGAAACACGUAAUCACAUAUUACUCAUAAUCAUAAAUUAUAAUUCAUACAAAACAUGCUCGAAUUAAUUUACGAAAGUUUCGAUUCAUUUACCUCUUGUAGCGUGUGAUUUCGACGAAUCGAAAUCCUAGACCGAGUCACGUACAAGCUGCAAAUUACCAAUCCUCGGGGCUGCAAUUCACGGCUGGAACAAGCUGAUCCAGCAAUCGACGAACGGCGACGAACGGCAGCAGCAGCGGCGGCGCGUGGCAACGGCAGCGGCGGCGCGUGAGCGGCGGUGCGGCGCGUGCGGCGAUGCGUGGAUUCGUCGGGGCAGCAGCUCCUCUCCAAUUAGGUUUCACCUCGUAUUUUUGACCCACUCGAACUACAGCACUAGAUGUAAACGAGUUAGAUAACAACACGAAUAAAACGAAGAAGAAAGAAGAGGAAACCGGCGGUGUUUCCGGCGGUGGUCGGCGGUGGCGCGCCGGGGCAGCAACGGCCGAAGAGGGGAGCGGCUAGGGCUUGAGCGGCUAGGGUUUGGUGCUGAAAAUCUGAUCUCAAACUCUUGUUUGAGGUCUAUUUAUACCUAGGGUUUUCAACCCUAGUGGGCUUAAGUCAUUGGGCUUGACCCACUGAUGCAUUAAGCCCAUCCCCUCGUCGGCCUCGUUUCUAAUAAACGAUCGUCCACAAAAUUAUAACAAAAUUAUAUUUGUGACGAGCUCAAAGUCCUCGUCGAUACGAGUGCCUCUUCGAAAUUUCCAAUUUCCAAAAUUGGAAACUUCCACUUCAGUGGACUUGCUAAAUCGGGAAACUUCCCAAUUUAGAAAGUUCACUAAAUUCCGCAUUUCUCUCUUUCUCUACGUUUAUUGCAAUUCGCAAUUCACAAUUACGAAUCUUGGAUUCAAUCAUAUCGACAUCCAACCGUUCAAAGAUUAACACAUUAAUCUAUGAUUGUUGUUAUCAAGGAUCUAUAUUACACGAGAAGUGUGACCCUCAAUGGUUCAGGUGUAUGCUAGCCGUGGGCUCACAACUCAUUGCGAUUCGAACUACACAUUGUUCUUAUACGAACUCCUCCCAAGAGUCCCGAUUAGAGUAAAACUCAUUUUACCUAAUCCCGAUCAAAUCGGUGCCCAACGAAUCAAGAUUGGCGUCUAGCAACUACGCAUCAUGAUUCCCUAGAUACAAAUGAAGUGCCUGCAAGAACCUUAUGAUAUAGUUAGCGUACAGUACGAUCCCUUCGUAGCACAUGUCCCGAUUGAACUAGAGGCAUUGGUUCACCGAGACCUCUUAUAAAGUUCAAUAACCGUGCGAACGUUCUAGGUAUUAUAAAUCCGUUCGUGUGCGACUUAGGGAAACACAUUUCCCUAAUCAACCCACUAUCAACUCUGGCCAGAGAUUCCAUGGAUUAUAAACCGUCAGAACACACAGGACAUCCAUGACUACUCAAGCGCUCGAAUCCCCUACUACAAUGCACAGACUUCACACUAGAUUUCGGAUUGCACGAACGUUGGCCCUUGGUGUGGUCCGCGGUGGGACUCAGGGACAGGUCACGAUACAAUCGGUCCUCUAGUGAAGUCACGGUGAUGUCUGGGUCUUAAGGACUAAUGGUGUACAACUAUAUCGUAGAAACCUAUUACUCGAUGAAUGAGAACCACUUAUAGAUUUCUAGGGCGAGGGAGUUCAGUGAACUCAUCCAGUAUGAGCACCCACUCAAGUAUGCCGAUGUCACAACACCGAGGACUGAUGAGACGCAGUACACAUACACUAAGUGCUAGUCUCAAAAGGGAAAGGCUGGUAUCCUCAUUAUUGGCGUAACCCAUCGACUAGGAACAAGGUUUAACAGUUACAUUACAUUGCUGAGUUAUCUCACGAUUCUACUAGAUCAACUCACAGUAAUAGAGUAACUCGUUAGGACUAUAUCUAUGCUGCUUGCAUGGGAUAACAUAUAUAGAAUGCCAAAUAAGAUAUUUUAUUAUUACGAACGAAAAACGAUUGUUUUAUUACAAGAUAAAAGGAAAGACCACAGCCACAAGUUGGCUUGUUGGUCACCUACUCCAACAAUCUCCCACUUGACCUAAAGCCAACUACUCAUAAAUCUAAGUCCCAUCGACUCUCGAUGUUUCUCGUGGACUGAUCCUGACAAUGGCUUGGUAAAGGGAUCUGCAAUAUUGUCCUCCGAGGUGACUCUGUCUAGCUUGACUUCACCUCUCUCUAUGAUCUCUCGGAUCACAUGGUAUUUUCUCAACAUGUGCUUCGACUUCUGAUGAGCUCUUGGUUCCUUAGCUUGCGCUACGGCUCCGUUGUUAUCGCAGUACAGCCGUACUGGAUCGCUAGUGUUCGGAAAUACACCCAACUCUUGGAUGAAUUUCCUAAUCCAUGACCCUUCCUUUGAAGCAUCUGAUGCUGCAAUAUAUUCAGCCUCGGUGGUGGAAUCAGCCGUCGUGCCUUGUUUGGAACUCUUCCAACACACGGCACCCCCGUUGACUUUGAAUAUAUACCCCGAGUUUGACUUCGAGUCAUCCACGUCAGAUUGAAAACUAGAAUCCGUGAAGCCUUCUAAUUUCAACUCGGUAUCCCCAUUGACCAAAAACAAAUCUCGAGUUCUUCGCAAGUACUUGAGAAUGUCCUUCACAGCCUUCCAAUGGGCUGGGCCGGGGUCGGACUGAUAUCUGCUUGUGACGCUCACAGCAUACGCAAUAUCAGGUCGUGUACACAGCAUGCCAUACAUUAUGCUUCCUAUCGCGGAUGCAUAAGGUGUCAUUUUCAUCUCCUCGAUUUCCAUUUGCGUUUGAGGACGCAUGGAUUUCGAGAGACGAACCCCAUGGGACAUUGGCAAGAAUCCCUUCUUGGAUUCUUCCAUGCUAAACCGUUUAAGAACGGUGUCUAUGUACAUGGAUUGGGACAAGCCAAGCAAUCUCCUCGAUCUAUCUCUAUAGAUCCGUAUUCCCAAUACGUAGGAUGCUUCUCCCAAAUCCUUCAUCGAGAAACGUGUGGAUAACCAUACUUUAGUUGACUGCAACAUCCCUACAUCAUUCCCAAUGAGUAGUAUGUCAUCAACAUAAAGUACAAGGAAAGUCACUGCACUCCCACUAACCUUCUUGUAGACACAAGGUUCCUCCGGGUUUUUCACAAAUUCAAAUUCUUUGAUAGUUGUGUCGAACCUUUUGUUCCAACUACGGGAUGCUUGUUUCAAUCCAUAAAUGGAUCGCUGGAGUUUGCAAACCUUUUGCUCAUCUCCAGAAGAUAUGAAGCCUUCCGGCUGCGCCAUGUAAAUUUCUUCCUCAAUGUCCCCAUUAAGGAAAGCGGUCUUCACAUCCAUUUGCCAUAUCUCGUAGUCAUACCACGCAGAGAUGGCCAGCAAAAUCCUAAUGGACUUAAGCAUAGCAACUGGAGAGAAGGUUUCCUCAUAGUCAACUCCUUGCUUUUGAGUAUAACCCUUCGCUACCAAUCUAGCCUUGUAGGUCGAUACCUUUCCAUCUACUCCAAUUUUCUUCUUAUAGAUCCACUUGCAGCCUAUGGGAACAAUUCCCUCGGGUGGAUCUACCAAGGUCCAUACCUUGUUGGAGUACAUAGAGUCCAUUUCGGAUUUCGUGGCAUUAAGCCAAUGUCCCUUGUCUGUAUCUGAUACAGCUUCGUUGAAAGUUCUAGGAUCACAUCCUUGGUCAACUUCAUCAACGAGGAAUAACCUGUCGGGCGCUCUCCGAACUCUUUCGGAUCUACGCAGCGACGGUUCAGGAGGUAUGUUAGUGGUUUGUUGAAUUGGUUCAUUAUCUGAUUGUUGUGCUUGAACUUCAGAUUGUGGUUCUCGAACUUCUUCGAGAUCAACUACACUGCCCUUUCUAUCCGAUAGAAAUUCCUUCUCAAGGAACACGGCAUUUCUCGAGACGAACACCUUUGCCUCGGAAACAUAGUAGAAUUCGUAUCCCAUGGAAUCAUCGGGAUACCCCACAAAAUAGCAUAGGUCGGAUUUUGUAUCCAACUUAUCUCCCACUAGCCGCUUCACGUAAGCGGGACAACCCCAUAUCCUAAUAUGUUUAAACGUGGGUUUCUUGGAGUGCCAAAGUUCAUAAGGUGUGGAGUUAACUGCUUUGGUAUUAACCCUAUUUAGCAAAUACACGGCAGUUAGGAGUGCAUGACCCCACAGGUAUGCCGGUAGCUCGGUGAACCCCAUCAUAGAUCGAACCAUGUCUAACAGUGUUCGAUUCCGACGUUCGGAAACUCCAUUAAGUUGAGGAGUUCCAGGAGGAGUCCAUUGAGACAGAAUCCCAUUCUCUUUAAGAUAGUCUAUAAACUCAGUACUUAAGUAUUCGCCACCACGAUCGGAUCGUAGUUUCUUAAUACGUCUACCGAGUUGGUAUUCUACUUGGUGUCUAAAAUCUUUGAACUUUUCAAAAGUUUCAGACUUAUACUUCAUUAAGUACACGAAACCAUACCUAGAAUAAUCAUUGGUAAAGGUAACGAAGUAGUUAAAACCACCCCUAGCACUAACGCUUAGUGGACCACACACGUCUGAAUGGAUCAAAUCCAAAAAACCCUCGGCCCGUUCCAUCUUCCCUUUGAAGGGAUUCUUGGUCAUUUUUCCUUUAAGGCAGGAUACACAAGUUUGAAGUGAUUUAACGUCCUCCAAGGAGAACAUUCCUUCACUAACAAACUUGUUCAUCCUUCUCAAGGAAAUGUGACCUAGUCGAGCGUGCCAAAGUUGUGCGGGGUUAAAACUCAUAUCUUUUCGUUUUGCUGAUAUAACGUUAAUAGGUAUUUCACUUGGAUUCAGUUCAUAUAAGUUGUUGGGUUAACUGCAAAAAAUCCCUUAAACUUUGGACGUUUUUGCACUUUACCCCCUGAACGGAAAAAAGUUGCACGAGCAUACCUCAACUUACUAAAUCGUAGCACCGAAGCCGAAAUUGUCCAUUUUUGGCAAAAAAAAUGGCCGGAAGGCAUAACACGUGAGAAGCACAUGAUUUAAGCUGGGUAAAUUGGUCUUUUCCUCUUACACCUAUUUUUCUUUCUUUUUUUCAUUAAUAUAAACAAAUCUUAAAAAGAAAAAGAAAAAAGUGGGAUAUAAUAUGCAAAUCGUUUUAUUUUUUAAAUUAUCAUAUGAUUUAUGUCUAUGUAUUUAAAAAUUUUGUAAUAUUUCAGAAACUUUUUUAACAUUAUUUUAUUUUAUUCCAAUAAAUUUUAGUUCAUUUUUAACAAAACAAUAUACAAAUAUAUAUAUAAUAUAUAUCACAUAUAUAAAUACAAAUAAUUAGAAAAUUAGAAAAAAAAAAAAAAAAAAGUGAUCUUCUUCUAUCUACCCAACCACCCCCCUCUCCACCUCUGCCGCCACCUCCACUCCGGCGUAGUCUAUUUCUCCCACCUUUUUUGGUCACCGCCCCACCUUAUUUUUCUUUUUUCUCAGCCAUCGUCGUCACCGCGACCUCCGCCGCCCGAGCUCGUUUGUGAAUUGCAGCCUUGUGUUCCACCUCAAACGAAUUUCGUUUUCCCAGCCCUUUGUUACCACUUUGCAAUGAAAUUCAAGCAGAAAAAUCGCCGGAGUUGCGGCUGCCGACUACGGCCAAACAAAAUUCACAAGCUACGAUUCUGCCACCGGAAGCCGCCCCCUAAUUUCCAACCCCCUUCAUCAACCACGAAUAGAGCGGCGCCCUAACCGAAAUCAACGCCGUUGUUCCGCGCCCAUGCUUCUCAAAGUGGUCAUUAAUCUCACCCUGUUAAUAUUUUCCAUUGGGUCUCGCGGUCUGAUUUUCCCUACAACAGCAUCUGGCUGAUUUUUGGUGGGUCUUCGUCAAGUUUUGCGCGGCGGCGACAUCAAGUUUUUGGUGGGCCUUCGCCCAAGUUUUGAGCUUGAAGAAUAAUGAAAGAAAAAAGCUUAAAGCUUAAUUGGGAGAUGGGGCUGUUGGUUGGAGAAGAUGAAGAGGAUGGCGGAGCAGAGGUGGUGGUGGUAGUGGUGUUUGAGAGAUUGGGUUGU